UUUAAUAUUAAUAAAUUAAUAUUAAAUACCAAAAAUCUCUUUUUACAAUAAAUUUUAGGAUCUACGUAUAAUAAAAUUUAAAAAAUUAAAUUCUAUUCUAAAUCAAAUCAUUAAAUUUUAGUGAUUUUUCUAAUACAAAUAUAUAUAAUCGUAAUUUAAAACUUCCAAAACUACAUCUGAUUUUUAAAAAUUUAAUCCUUAUAAAAAAAUCUUUAAAUUUUUUUUAUAAGAACACUAAAGAAAAAUUACCGAAAAUAAAAAUUCUGAAAAUUAACAAAAUUAAAUUCUCAUUAUUUUAUUUUUAUUUUGAGAAAAAAAUAGCAAGCUACCUGCUUCAUUUAUUAGGUAAAAUGAACUAGACAUAUAUGGUGAAAGCAACUAAGACUUUCGAAAAGAAAUUCUCAUUAUUUUGUCAUUGCACCACCAUGUCGGUGACUCUGAGGGCUUGUUUGGUUCAUCCAUUUUGGGUAUCGAAUGGGAAGCGGUUUGAUCAAAUCCGGUUAAUUUUGUUUGGUUCGCAUGAAUCGGCUUGGGAUUUCUAUUCCAGACUGGAAUGGGAAUGGCCCAUUAGCCUUCAACUUGAUUCCGGUCUUCUAGCUCGGAUUGAGAUUUCAUUUCGGAAGCCCACUAAGUUCUCGAAGUCCAUGUGACCAUCUCACCCUCCUUCUCUCCACCCCUUUCUCAUCAAAAAAAAAAAAAAAAAUCUAUCCUCUCUCAAAACCCUAUUCCUAACCCACAUCAAUAAAAGUUUUUAAAAAUAAAUUUGAUAUUUUUUUUGAAAAACUUAUUAAAGAAUAGUAUUAUAUUUUUCAUAAAUUUUAAAUAAUAUAAAUUUAUAUUUGAGAGUAAAAUCAGCAUUAUAGUAUCCUAUAAUUUUUUUAAUUUAUACGAACCAAACAAUGAAAUGUGAAUAACUAAUUCCAAUUCCCAAUCCACAAAUAAAUCAAACGUCUUGGAAGAGUGGGUCAUUCCAAUUACUAUUCCAAUUCAUUCCCAUUUCAUUAUCCAUUCCAAUUCCACCCUUGAACCAAACAAGCCCUGAAUGUCGUACCCACUCUUUUUCCCAUUGUAGACCAUCAUCUACAGCAACUCUU
rnacentral:lncRNA from 1 species